GUACGGGGGGGGCAAGCGUUGUUCGGAAUUACUGGGCGUAAAGGGCUCGUAGGCGGCCAACUAAGUCGGAUGUGAAAUCCCCAGGCUCAACCUGGGAACUGCAUCCGAUACUGGAUGGCUUGAAUCCGGGAGAGGGAUGCAGAAUUCCAGGUGUAGCGGUGAAAUGCGUAGAUAUCUGGAGGAACACCGGUGGCGAAGGCGGCAUCCUGGACCGGCAUUGACGCUGAGGCGCGAAAGCUAGGGGAGCAAACGGG
rnacentral:rRNA from 1 species